rnacentral:sRNA from 1 species
UCGUCCCGGCUCGUGGACGCCCCGACCAUCGCGCCGCGCUCCCGGCUACGCUGGCGAGGUGCGCCCGCCGCGGAACCUGCCCUGCGGGCGCAAAGCCGACAGCCGUCGCACUCCAGGGAGCCCUUUCAUG